rnacentral:rRNA from 1 species
AUUGAACGCUGGCGGCAGGCCUAACACAUGCAAGUCGAACGGUAACAGGAAGAAUCUUGCUUCUUUGCUGACGAGUGGCGGACGGGUGAGUAAUGUCUGGGAAACUGCCUGAUGGAGGGGGAUAACUACUGGAAACGGUAGCUACUACCGCAUAACGUCGCAAGCCCAAAAAGGGUGACCUUCGGGCCUCUUGCCAUCGGCUGUGCCCAGAUGGGAUUAGCUAGUAGGUGGGGUAACGGCUCACCUAGGCGACGAUCCCUAGCUGGUCUGAGAGGAUGGCCAGCCACACUGGAACUGAGACACGGUCCAGACUCCUACGGGAGGCAGCAGUGGGGAAUAUUGGACAAUGGGCGAAAGCCUGAUGCAGCCAUGCCGCGUGUAUGAAGAAGGUCUUCGGGUUGUAAAGUACUUUCAGCGGGGAGGAAGGGAGUAAAGUUAAUACCUUGGCUCAUUGACGUUACCCGCAGAAGAAGCACCGGCUAACUCCGUG